UACUCUCUCAGCAGCAUGGUGACAGUGCCCUCCAGCAACUGGGACACCCAGACCUUCACCUGCAACGUGGCCCACCCGGCCAGCAGCACCAAGGCAGAAAUAACAGUGUCUAAUGGACUCACAGAGCCUGAUUAUUCCAACUAUCCCAAAUGCCCACCUCCUGAGAACCCAGAAGGGCCAUCGGUCUUCAUCUUCCCUCCAAAACCUAAGGACACCCUCAUGAUCUCCCGGGCACCCGAGGUCACGUGUGUGCUGGUGGACGUGGUGCAAGAUGACUCCAACGUCAAGUUCACCUGGUACGUAGACGGUAAGGAGGUAAACACGGGCAAGAUAAAGUCGGAGGAGGUGAAGUACAACAGCACCUUGCGCGUGGUCGGUAUCCUCCCCAUCCGGCACCAGGACUGGCUGCAGGGCAAGGAGUUCAAGUGCAAGGUCGAGAACGACGCCAUGCCAGCCCCCAUCGAGAGGACCAUCUCCAAGGCCAAAGGUCAGAUCCGGGAGCCACAAGUGUACAUCCUGGCCCCACACGUGGAAGAGCUGACCAAGAACACGGUCAGCGUGACCUGCCUGGUCAAAGACUUCUACCCGCCCGACAUCCACGUGGAGUUUCAAGGCAAAGGACAGCCAGAGCGAGAGAACAAGUACAGCACGACCCCGCCCCAGCGGGACGCCGACGGGUCCUACUUCCUGUACAGCAAGCUCACCGUGGACAAGGGCAAGUGGCAGCAGGGAGACACCUUCACGUGUAUGGUCAUGCACGAGGCCCUGCACAACCACUCCACCCAGAAAUCCAUCUCCCAAAACCCGGGUAAAUGAGCCACGUUUCCGGCGCCCCAGCGAGCCCCACCCCGUGUACACACCCGGGCCCCCGGCAUGAAAUAAAGCACCCAGCACCACCCUGGGACCCUGU